rnacentral:rRNA from 1 species
UGAGACAGGUCGGUCUCUAUCCGUCGUGGGCGCCUGGAGAUUUGAGGGGAGCUCUCUCUAGUACGAGAGGACCGAGAGGGACAGACCUCUGGUGUGCCAGUUGUCCUGCCAAGGGCACAGCUGGGUAGCUACGUCUGGAAGGGAUAAUCGCUGAAAGCAUCUAAGUGAGAAGCCCACCCCAAGAUAAGAUCUCCCAUCCUUCCCUUUCGGGGGGAGGAGUAAGACCGCAGGUAGACUACCUGUUUGAUAGGCGGCGUGUGUAAGUGCAGUAAUGUAUUGAGCUAAGCCGUACUAAUGGUCGAGGGCUUGACCUG